UAUCAGAAUUAGCUGGAGGGUGAAGGUGUGGGUUGCCCCUCCACACCUGUGGGCGUUUCUCGUUAGGUGGAACGAGAGACUUGGAAAAGAAAGAGACACAGAGACAAAGUGUAGAGAAAGAAAAAUGAGCCGCGGGGAGAGUUCUCUUUUCUUUUGAAACAGCAGUUGAACACGGGUCAGUCGGUCCUGAGAGAUGGGCGAGCGCCGUUCCGAAGGGACAGGCAA
rnacentral:lncRNA from 1 species